AAUGCCAAUGGAUCCGAGUUUGUUGCAAUGCUGCGAGGACAUCUUACUAUACUGGGAGAGUGCAUCGAAUGGACGACAGCUUCUGAAUCAUCUAGAGCGACACUUGUGUCUCAUUUAAAAGAAGCUCUCUAGGAACAGGAAAUGAAGAUGGAACAAGUAUGCAGUCAGCUUUCAUGUAAUAACUGAGCACUUCAAUAUGAGGAUUUCUGGAGUCAAUAUUUUCUUUCAAGGAUUUUGGAGGAGCACACUUGGAAGUGUACAAGGAACUUAAAGCUUUGUGACCUUGAAGGAUAUAGGUUGUAUUUUUACUGGCCUGAAUAUAUUGUUCAAAUGGAAGACUUUGUUGUUCAGUGCGUUAACAAUGCGUC